UACGUAGGGGGCUAGCGUUGUCCGGAAUCAUUGGGCGUAAAGCGCGUGUAGGCGGUCCGGUAAGUCCGCUGUGAAAGUCAAAGGCUCAACCUUUGAAUGUCAGCGGAUACUGCUGGGCUAGAGUCCGGAAGAGGCGAGUGGAAUUCCUGGUGUAGCGGUGGAAUGCGCAGAUAUCAGGAGGAACACCAACGGCGAAGGCAGCUCGCUAGGACGGUACUGACGCUGAGACGCGAAAGCGUGGGGAGCGAACAGG
rnacentral:rRNA from 1 species